rnacentral:rRNA from 1 species
GACAGAUGGUGCGAACGUUGUUCGGAAUUACUGGGCGUAAAGCGCGUGUAGGCGGCAACGCAAGUCGGGCGUGAAAUCCCACGGCUCAACCGUGGAAGUGCACUCGAAACUGCGUAGCUAGAGUCCUGGAGAGGAAGGUGGAAUGCUUGGUGUAGAGGUGAAAUUCGUAGAUAUCAAGCGGAACACCGGUGGCGAAGGCGGCCUUCUGGACAGUGACUGACGCUGAGACGCGAAAGCGUGGGGAGCAAACAGG